rnacentral:tRNA from 2 species
UCUCGAUUGGUCUAGUGGUCAGGAUACCUGCUUGUCAUUCACACUACUGUUGUCUAGUCUUCACGAUGUGGGCACUUAGCUGUCAUGGAAAUUCGCAGGUGGCCGGGGUUCGAUUCCCCGAUCGAGAG